GUGAGGAAUUUUCCGCAAUGGGCGAAAGCCUGACGGAGCAAUGCCGCGUGAAGGAUGAAGGCCUAUGGGUUGUAAACUUCUUUUCUUAGAGAAGAAUAUUGACGGUAUCUGAGGAAUAAGCAUCGGCUAACUAUGUGCCAGCAGCCGCGGUAAGACAGAGGAUGCAAGCGUUAUCCGGCAUGAUUGGGCGUAAAGCGUCUGUAGGUGGCUUCAAAAGUCUCCUGUCAAAGAUCAGGGCUUAACCCUGGGCCGGCAGGAGCAACUCUGAGGCUAGAGUUUGGUAGGGGCAGAGGGAAUUCCCGGUGGAGCGGUUAAAUGCGUAGAGAUCGGGAGGAACACCAAAGGCGAAAGCACUCUGCUGGGCCACAACUGACACUGAGAGACGAAAGCGAGGGGAGCAAAAGGGAUUAGAUACCCCUGUAGUCC
rnacentral:rRNA from 1 species